UCAAAUUCUAAACAAGACUUCAAAGUACGGUAAAUUGCUCCAUUUUUUGGUUCCACGCAUUUGAGGCAAUUGUAUUGAUUUGCUGUGUCCCUGGAGCUGCAUCAUGCCGAGAAUCAUCCAAAUCAUAGACGGUCUCCGGGGUGCUUCACUAUGAUUGACACCAGCAUGUAAACAUACGAGAAAUGUAAGCAGUAAAACAGUCGGUACAGAUUACAAAGGAAGCCGCUGUAACUUAUUCCAUGCAACGACCUGAUGGGAUGAUUUGUUCUUGUAAAGUUUGCUCGCGGCCUUGCCCACCUCCCUUCUGCGCCUUGAUAUGCUUUGUGAUGGUCUCAGCAACACAAGCUACAGUACUGUUUUUUUUUUUGAAACGGAUUUUCAUUGAUUAAGAAGAAGAGAGAUGCCUGGUUAAUUAGAGGAAAACCGGGCGAAAACCAAGAUUACAAACCCCACAUGGGGCAUUCGUGGACGACUUGGCCACAAACGCCAAACAGUCGACCAAAGCGUCGAUGACAGGACAGCUCCGAUUUUGCUGACGAGUUUCACAGGAGAAAGUUGCAAGAUUCGCAUCGACCUAGUCCAACGCAACAUCCGGAGAGCACCGUCCACUGAAAACCGCCCUCAUGGAGUCAUCAUUGCCGCAGUGGCCCUGCCGCCCGCAGCUCCGACUUCUCUGUCACAGCCAGAAAUCAGCAUAGGCACAUCCAUUGGCGCACCGGACCUUCGACAUCAGAAGGACAAGCCGCGACCCAGCUCUGCUCGCCACCAUCGUCGUCACCACACACAUCACAACACCACACCCACCUCGCAUCAUCGGUUGGCCACCUGCCAACGUGAUGCCGUGUAUGUCCAGCCCAAGGGAAGCGUGGAGAAGGAUCAUCGGUCUUCAAAGCAACGCCCCAAAGGGGGAAACGCCGCGGGGGCGACGUCGUUGCCCAACCCAGAUGGGUCUAGGCUUUCGCCCAAAGAACCAGAUCCGAGAAUGAAGCGUGUCGAAGAAACUCCACGACGGCGCCUUCAAGAAGGGAAACGACGCCCGUAGGUGCCGCCACCGCCGGCCGGCAAGAGCCGGGCAAACUUUCGCUCGGAGUAGACUUGACAGCACAUCCCCACGCCACCGACGACAAAGCGCUGCCGGCCCGCACCGCCACUGGCCCACACACCUCCUGUGGGAUGACGGCGUCACCACCACGCAGGAGCCACCCACCUCUCUGCCAACAAAGCGCUAGCGAGCCAGACCCAGCCGCAGGCCAGAUCAGGCAACCCGCCACAGCCACACUGCCGCAGAACAGACCAAAGACCAGAACGCCGAGCACCAGGACCAAGAAGGGGGGCUGCCACCCCGCCCAAACACGUCGGAGAGGACAAGCUGAGAGGGAGGGCUGCCACCCCAUCCCGAACUCGCCGGAACGAGCUGCCGAGCCAAACCCGCGCAACCCGUCGAUCCGGCCACAGCCGCCCAGAUCGGCGAGCCACCGCCACAGGACUGUCGAGGAAGCCUCUAGAAGCCGGCCUGGUGCAGAUCCGCGCGGAGACGAGCACCUACAUGGCAGAAGGGGAGCUGCCACGCCACCCUGGCCGCCGAAGAGGCGCCGCCGGUCGAAGGUCAGAUCCGCGAGCCAGCAGCUGCACCGCGGAGAAGAAAGAGGCGCCAACCCCUUUGAAUCGCCGGAGAUGAGGGCCGCUGCGAGCAGUCGCUGGAACUACCGCGCAGUGUAGCCGAGGUGGACCGAGCCUCCCCCACCGAGAUCUGCCGCCGCCAGGCGAGAACAGGGCCCCGCCGCCGCCGUCCGCCGCGCGAGCUUAGCUCGGCGGUGUCCUCCGGCGACGGCGAGGGGAGGGAGAGCGACGAGGAGGG
rnacentral:rRNA from 1 species